GCCCAGGUGCUGGAAUUGGCAGACAGGCUAGCUUCAGGAGCUAGUGCUCCUAAAGAGCGUGGGAGUUCGAGUCUCCCCCUGGGCA
rnacentral:tRNA from 1 species